CCCGAUUCUGGGCUUCAGGGCCUGGGCUUCGAGGCCAGCACCUGCCGGUGAUCUGGCUGUGGGGGCCCUGGGUCUGCAUCAGGGGAUUUAACCCCUCUUGGGACCCCCCAAACAGGUGUCUUACCCCCUUUUACAGCCCAGGAACCAGAGGCCCAGCGGGGCUAAGAGGCUUGUCCACCAGCUGGCCUGUAGCAGAGUCAGAGACCCAGCUGGGUUUUAGCUGUGGACCCUGCGACGUCCGUGCUGGGUGGUGGGGGGUUUCAGAGGUCUCUAGUGGGGCUGGUGGGAGGUGAGGGCAGGCAGCAGCUCUUGGCUGGAGGGCCAUUGGCUUCUCCCAGGCAGGGUGGACAUGAAUUCAACUCUAAGGUGCUAGCCUGGAUCUGUGUCAGCUGUUUGGGUUUAGAGAUACUGAGUGAAGUCAAGUGUGCUGGGUCUGCUUCUGAUGCAGCUGUGGGCUGAUCAUGUUCCCCUAAGGCCUCAGUUCAGUCAUCUGUAAAAUGGGAAUACUCAUAGCCUUGAGUGAAAUAAAAGUCACGUAAAGGCUUGGAGGACAGGGGAGCAGAAGCUGGACCUGAGCUCCUCAGAACCAAGAAGCUGGGGGCAAGAGAGAGGGGCUGAGAUUUGGGAACUCAUGAGGACCUCCUAAAAACUACAGAGGCCUGGGCACUGCUGCAGGCUGAUUGAUGUGGAAUCUCCGGGCAGGCGCCAGGAAUCUGUCCUUUGAAGAGCUGCCCUGGUUUUCCAUGGGUGAGUGAGUGGCUGGGAAGUCCCGACCUUGUUCCACAAUUCAGCCAGGACAACCGAGACUCCAAGAGGGAGGGCCUUGCUCAGGGACACCCAGGAAGUUGGGGAAUGAGAUAGGGAAGAGCAGGAAGACAAUUUGAGAGGAAGGGGAGGCAAAGAUUGCUCUAUUUUGGGUAGGAGUUUGAGGUGCCCACAAGACAGCCAGGGCUGGUAAAUGGAGGUGGAGUGAGGUCUGGCCCCGAGAUGAGGUUUGCAAGCCGUGAGCUUACUGGUGGUGCUGAGGGAGCUGUGGAAGUAGAUAGAUGAGUUUACUGGGAGAGAGUCCUGGGCCCUUUCAUACUCGGCUCAGUAGAACAGGGUCCAGUAGGCGUGGGGCCAUGGGAGCCAGGCGAUGACAGCGGGGUAGUCACUGCGUCACCUGGGUAAGCAGAUGGCUGUCACGUCCCCAUUGAAUUUGGAAAAUGAGGCCAUCAACUUGGAGCAGAGCAGGCUAACCAGAAGGGGAUGGACAAGACCAAUGAGAGAGGGCUCAAGGAGGGUUGAGGAAGUUGGAUGAGUAUGACUGCAGGCCCCUGCCAGUCUGGCCAUGCCUGGGAGCAGAAGUACGGGAAGAUCGUUUCACACCGAGGUGGCAGACUUGUGUCCUGAGGGAGUGUCCAGCACACAGGCAAGACAGGCAGUGCUAGAGCGAGCGAGUGAGCCGGUGACCUGCUGUGAGACUGGGUCUGAGUGCGACCUGCACCAACACUCACAGUCAGCGGGCUGAACAAACAACAGCUCAGCGUGUCCCUCUCUGCAGGGUCCCUCUGCUUUCUGCCUGGAGCGCUGUGUCCUCCCCAUGCCCUGGCUGUGUUCCCCUCAUGCUUACCGGUGCCAGCUGCCUGCCCUGUGGUCCACGGGCCCGUGGGACCUGAGGGCGUGGGGAUCACUUUCUGCAGGGUCUCAGACUUGGUGCUGGUGGAAGACAGGACUGAGCCUGUCCUGCUACCGUGUGCCACCUCUCGUUGUGCUCCUAUCCAUGAGGAAGAAUUUUGUCCUAAAAACCGAGUUUCUGUUAUCUAUAAACAAGUGGAUUGUUGGCCGGGAAUGUGCCCUGGACCCCAGGGGUAGGACGGAGGUCCUCAUAGCAAAGGCAGUUCAGACCCCAGGGGAGGAAGAGCUCAGUGCCCCUUUGGGCCCCAGAAGAUCUCAUGCCUGGUGUCUGGCACUGCCUGGCCCUUCCCUGCCCCGACCCCUCCCAAGAAGGGCACAGGGGCAGGAAGUGCCAGCUGGAGCAGAGUGAAGGAGGCAGCUGUGGGUCAGCAGGAAACGGGAUGGUCUGUGAGGCCAGAUUAGCAGCAGCCAGGAGGGAGGGACAAUGCGGCUUCGGGGGAGGGCUGUAAGAGCGAGGCAGGGGACUCCUGCCCACCUCUUGUAGAGAGAGGGAGGCUGACCUGGGAGGGGUCCUGUGUACUCAGCUAUGGGCUUGGGGGCUGGUGGACCCAGGGCUAGACCCUGAUGUGGCCGGUCUCUACCUGUGUGACCUCUAAGCCUCUUCCCUUACCUGUGAAAGUCUUCAGUUCAGACUUUUCAGGGCUGUCCCGGAUCAAAAGGACAGUGGAAACCAAUGACGGUAACACGUCUUAGUGAAUGCAUCUCUCGAAGUGUGAUCUCUCCAGCAUCUGCCUCAGAAUCACUCGGGUGGGUAGAGGAGCCAGAAAUGAAGAUUUCUGGGCCCCACCCUAGGCUGAUGGCAGAUGGCAGACAAUGGGACACCGAGACCUACAUGUUGGCAGCCCACCAGGCAAAGUGUCUGUGCUCACAUUGGAGAACCACAGUCUCCCUGGUGCUGGUGGUGCGCUGGGCUCUCUCUGGGGCUUCUCAUUUGACCCUCAGGACAACCUCAGUGCUAUUGUCAGCCUGUUACAGAGAUGGGGAAACUGAGGCUUGGAGUCAAGGGCUCCCUCCCUAAGAACUUGGAGCUUUUUAGCAGAAUGCCCAUUACGAACCAGAGCUCAGUCUCCAGAGGGCAGCACCUUAUCUGCCCAGCUUUCCUGCCCCACCACAGCUGUGUGGAUAGCAUAGUGUCAGAUCAUAGUAGCUGCUCAUGAAACAAAAUUCUCUGGAAUUCUGUACUGGACAGGAAGGCAGGGGAGUGACGCCCUUCGUUCCGGCAGAAGUGGUCGCUGUUCAGCUGCUGUGCUUCUUUCUUUUCCCCUCUGCUUGCAGAGCCACCCCCACCCCCAGUUGUCUCCACUUCGAUCUCACUUCCUCCAUGUGCCUGUCAGCCCUGGGCACAGCCCAGGCCUCACCCAUCUGCUGCACCCUCUCCUCCUCUCCAUGUGUCUCCUUUGCAUCCCUGUCCCCACAGCGGGCAUAGAUGGGUGGACUUGGAGCUGUGCACCCCUAGAACCAGCACCAGUCCACUGGGGCUGCCUGGUGUGGGGGUCUCUUUGCCUCUGCCCCCUGCCUGCCUGGCCCACGCUGGCUGUGGCCAGCGACACUGCGCUUCUUUCCUUCCUCUUUGUGGUGUUUUAUCUGGAGUACCCAAUACUCAUGCUUGUUUUUUAAUUUUUAAAAUUUCUUAUUGGUAUAUUUGCAAUGCAUAAUAAUUAACAUUUGUAUUGGGGAAUUGGUACAUGUAUAUAUCCUCUCUUGAUCAUUUCAAUCUCCUUUCCCUUCUCCUCUCCUCUCUUCCUCUGGCCCCCUUUCCCAUCUCCACAAUCUCCCUCUUGGCUACCAUCUCUUCUUUAUUUUACUCUAUAAUUUAUUUAUAUUUUAGGUUUCCCAAAUAAGAGAAAUCAUUCCAUAUUGAACCUUCUAUGCCUGACUUAUUUCACUUAAUAUGAUGAUCUCACGAUUCAUCCAUUUUCCUACAAAUGACUUGAAUUUAGCCUUCUUUAUGGCUGAAUAAUACUCCAUUGCUUGAGCUGAGUAACCAUAACACACAGAAGUGAGGGGUGAAGUUGGAGCCUCCUGGGAACACAGCUGGAUUACGUCACAAGCCCAGAGUGGCCCUGCCUACUUCAAACCAGGCUCAUGUUCUGCAGAGCGUCGCUGAACACUCCGAGCUGCUCCAGCAUCCUGCCUCUGAGCCUUAGUCCUUGCUAUUCGUGCCUCUGAGGGUGCUCGUCCUCCCUUCCUCAGCUAGCCCAAGUCUUCUGGCCUUUCCGCGCCCAGCUUAAUUACACCGCUCCUCCACCA